ACAAUUUAAACUAAGUCCAGAAUUUCAACUAAGUCCAGAAUAGGACUGAACAAUUUAAACUACUGUAAGUCAAAAUAGGACCAACAAUUUACACAAGUCCAGAAUAGGACCAACAAUUUUUCACUAAUUUACACUAAGUCCAGAAUUUUAACUAAGUCCAGAAUAGGACCAACAAUUUACACUACUGUAAGUCCAGAAUAGGACCAACAAUUUACGCUAAGUCCAGAAUCAGACUAACACUAAGUAACUUAAUAUAUUAUACCACAAACCUGACUUGACAAACAAUCCAUAACCACCAAUUUUAUGAAUGAACAAUAAAUGUCUAUUGCAGUGAA